rnacentral:lncRNA from 1 species
CUGGAUUAUUCCGCUAAACUCGAUGAGCGAAUUUGGAGGGCCGUCAAACUGUCCGGAUUUUACACUUCACACAAAAAGUCAACUGCCGAAGGCCCUUUUAGCUGGUACACAUGGUUUGAGUUUCAAAAAUCUAAAAGAGACUCUCUGACUUUAGGCAAGCUUCUGAAAACCGACAAAAUGAAUGAUGACAAAAAAAUAGAUAAGUUUGUGACGUUAUCUAGUCGCUCUUGAUAAUUUCAGCCUAGUUGCACAGAGCGAAUGCGGACUGGUAAUAAUUACGUGACAAGCAAUCAAUUAUCGAAUUUAUAUACAAAGAAUUAGUUUAUCAGCGGCGGAUAACGAAUCAGGAUGAAUGCCAUUAACGUUGAUGAUAAGACACUCAACUGGGAAACUGAUGGCUGUUUCUAGUUGAUCUUAUUUAAAAACUCUCACCUAACAAAGGUGGAUCUCAUUCUCUGAUUUGCUUAAUUACUUAAACGUUGAAGCGCAGCGAAAACAGAGCUUCGGUGCUUAAAUACGCAGUGAAAAUUACGUGUGGAAUUCAUCUCAAUCAGCUUCGAACAUUUUUCCGUGCCUGAAGCUUGACUUUGAAUAUUUUGUUUAACUAUGACUGAGAUACGAAGAAGAUAAAAAUUUGUUUGAAGCGACUGGAAGAUGAAAAACCUGCCCAGUGUGAAUGUUUUGUCGAGCACUACUGAGCGGAGCGAAGAAUUCACUAUUGCAGCCUAUAAAAAAUCGAAACUUCAGAAGAUUUGAACUCAGUUUCAGCUUGUUUUCACUAGCUCAGCUCUGAAUACAUGCAAAGUUUUUGUUUCAGUUUGAUUUUAAUAAAUGCAUUAAUUUGUGUGUCUGCUAAUGACUUUAA